AUGUUUCUUAUUUAUCAAUUUUCUAGGUAUUUCUAGAGUGUCAAAGUAAUUAAAUCUUACUGUUUUCUUCCCCAUUGCAUGAAUAUACAGCUUGAAUGUGUAUCUGUCAUACUCACAAGAACAUGGGAUUUUGUAUUUUUUUAAUGAGGUCUUGUAUCAUGCUUUAGAAAUUUGCAGCAUACCGUAAUCUUGGGGUGACUCAAAGUGAGCACCGUGUGUAAUUGGAAUGAAACCUCUCAAAGGAGUGAAUUAAAACUGCUUUCUUGUUGUGAGUUACUGUCAGUGAUUCCUGCUGUUUCCCCUGCACCUCCAGCUGAGCUCUCCUAGAGAAAGCACAAUUAGCCUGCUUCCUGCUCCCACAUCAUUCCCUGCCAAUACCACCAAAAUGCCCUUAAAUGUUUUUUUCUAUAAAUAACCUCAUUAUCUACUAUUAAGAAAUCAAAUAUGUGAAUUGUCUGCUGUCUGUCAAGUCAGUCAUUUAUUAAUGACUUUUUACCACAGUGUUUUCUUAAUCUUUUUGCUCUGUUGGAAUUCCAUAUGCAUUAUAAUUACCGUUAUGAACAACAAACAUCUGCAAGCAACUGUGAGAGCAAGCAGUACUACCACCCAGCACCUGCCUGUUCAGCUGCAACAUCCUGCCAGCGAUUCAUACUUCCCACCAAGUGAGUGCUUCUGGAAUCCAGCAGUCGUGUCUUCUACUUACCGGGAGCGCUUAGAAUGACAAAAGCACAGAAAGAAAGAAGCUGUUCAGAAGACAGGAAACCAAGGAAACAAGAGCCCCUGCAGGGUUCAAAAACAGCUUCAAUGUGAGCUCUGUGAUGUCCCCUGCACAGGAGCAGGUGCGUGUGUAGCACAUAUCCGGGGAACCUUCAGAAGGCGAGAUAGGUUUUAAUGUUAAGAACACAACAGAGCAUGCGUAUGGCAAGUAAAAGAUCUUUAAGAAAUAUUUCUGAAAGAGAAAAUGUGAUACAGAUGUGCUUUAAGUCAGUUUGCUGCACUGAAUGAACUCUUGGGAUAACCAAAUGUGAUCUGAGCAUGUGUGUUGCUCAGCUUUGCCAAACCUCCCUCCUCUAAAACUGCAAGGUACACCGAGAAAGCUUAACUGUUGUAAAAAAUGUUUCUGUAUCAUUUUUUUCUCUAAACUCAUGUUAAAGUGAUUUUACAGUUAACAGGGAAAUAACACUAUCACUUAAAAACAAAAACACACAAAAAAUCUAACUAAGCAUAGCAGAAUCAAAACUUAUUUGACUGUUCAAGCCAAUAUCUCUAAAAAACUUUCUCCUUCAAGCGUUCAGCUAUCUUUGGGCUUAGUUCUUUGUCUCAUCUAAGCUAUGACUAUGAAAAUAUCUGAGUAUUUUCAAGUUUUUCACUUGGCCUGGGGAGAAGAUUGCGUACUUACGAGUGGCUCGUGUGGUCAUUCAGAGUUGUCUAUUUAAGUAAGGAUGCAAAUCUUUUAGCAUAAAUGUUGGUUUUGUGUUGCAUUAGGAGUGUAAAGCUCAGCAAUAAAUUGAAUCCCCUGUAGUCAGCUACUAUAAUAAUUGCUAUCGUGACAAAUUGGGGAAAAUUAUGUUGGGGACGAAUAACUGAUAAUAGCAUGAUGAAUUUUUAACUUAAAUUCUGUUAAGAAUGUGUUCCUAAAUAGUAAAGAACUGGGCUACUAAUCAAUUUUCUUCACACACUGCUGAAAUACAUGGAACAAGCAACAGAAGAUGAUGAAAACAGAAGCAGGGCUACAGUUGUUUCUGAAAAUGUACCUGGAGGGCUGCUGGAUUCACAACCUGUUUUACAUGACCAUGUAGAAGAUGUUAACAUCUUUCCUCUCGAGACAGGAAAUAAUGAAGGAAAAAUAUUUGACUUCAUUGUGAGCUCCGAGUGCAGUUUUGAUGGCUUCAGUGCUGAGGAUAUGCACGUUAAGCAGUGGAGAGGAACAGACUGCAAUACCAGGUUCUUUAAAGAAGACCUGUACUGCAGAUAGAGGUGGAGGAGAGAGUUACAAUGGGAAGGGCAGUGGCUUCCCAUGGGCAGACCUGACAUGCGGUUACCUUUCCUG